rnacentral:rRNA from 1 species
AUUGAACGCUGGCGGAAUGCUUUACACAUGCAAGUCGAACGGCAGCACGGGUGCUUGCACCUGGUGGCGAGUGGCGAACGGGUGAGUAAUACAUCGGAACGUACCCAGUCGUGGGGGAUAACGUAGCGAAAGUUACGCUAAUACCGCAUACGUCCUGAGGGAGAAAGCGGGGGACCGUAAGGCCUCGCGCGAUUGGAGCGGCCGAUGGCGGAGUAGCUAGUUGGGGGGGUAAAGGCCGCCCAAGGCGACGAUCCGUAGCGGGUCUGAGAGGACGGCCCGCCACACUGGAACUGAGACACGGGCCAGACUCCUACGGGAGGCAGCAGUGGGGAAUUUGGACAAUGGGCGAAAGCCUGAUCCAGCCAUUCCGCGUGAGUGAAGAAGGCCUUCGGGUUGUAAAGCUCUUUCGGCAGGGAAGAAACGGCUUGGGAUAAUACCCCGGGCUAAUGACGGUACCUGAAGAAGAAGCACCGGCUAACUACGUGCCAGCCGCCGCAGUAA